GGGAUGCUAAAUUUUAUUGAAAGCUUUUUCUGUGUCUAUUGAGAUAAUCAUGGCUUUUGUCUUUAGUUCUUUUUAUGAGAUGAAUUAUGUUUAUUGAUUUCUGUAUGCUUAAUGCACCUUGCCUCCCUGGGAUGAAGCCUGCUUGAUCAUGGUGGAUAAGCUUUUUGAUGAGCAGCUGGCUUUGGUUUGUCAGUAAUUUAUUGAGGAUUUUUGCAUCAAUGUUCAUCAGGGAUAUUGGCCUGAAGUUGUCUUUUUUUUUGUUGUAUCUCUGGAAGAUUUUGAUAUCAGGAUGAUGCUGACCCCACAAAAUGAGUUAUGGAAAAGCCCGUCCUUUUCAAUUGUUUGGAAUCAUUUCAGCAGAAAUGGUACGAGCUCCUCUUUGUACCUCUGGGAGAAUUCAACUGUAAAUCCAUCUGGUCCCGCGCUUCUUUUGCUUGGUAGGCUUUUUAUUACUGCCUCAGUUUCAGAACCUGUUAUUGGUCUAUUUGGGGAUUCAAAUUCUUCCUGGUUUAGUCUUGGGAGGGUUUAUGUGUCUAGGAAUUCACCCAUUUUUUUCUAGAUUUUGUAGUUUAUUUGCAUAGAGGUGUUUAUAGUAUUCUCUGAUGGUUAUUUGUAUUUCUGUGGGGUCAGUGGUGAUAUCCCCUUUACCAUUUUUUAUUUUGUUGAUUUGAUUCUUCUCCUUUUUUUCAUUAGUCUACCUUGCAGUCUAUUUUUUUUUCUCAAAAGACCAGCUCCUUGAUUCAUUGAUUUUUUGAAGAGAUUUUUGUGUCUCUAUCUCCUUCAGUUCUGCUCUGAUCUUGGUUAUUUCUUGUCCUCUGCUAGCUUUUGUGUUUGCUGGCUCUUGGUUCUUUACUCAUUCCUUAUCUCAAGCCUUCUCCUAUGGCUCAAGAAGAUGAUAGUAAGAGUAAAAUUCAGCCAUUUCUGUGAUGUAUCUAUCAGCAUUUUGUUUCUUGAGACAGUGUUAUGUUCUGUUGCUGUGACACCCAAGAUUGAAAGCAGUGGUGUCAUCAUAGCUCAUAGUAGGCUCAAACUUCUGAGCUCAAGAGAUCCUCCCUCCUCAGCCUCCCAGGCAGCUGGGACUACAGGCACACACUACCACACUUGGCUAAUUUUUGUACUUUUUUGUUGAGAUUGGAUUUUGCCAUGUUGCCUAGGCUAGUCUUGAAUUCCUGAGCUCAAGUGAUCCACCCAUCUUGGCCUUCCAAAGUACUAGGAUUAUAGGCAUGAGUCAUCAUUUCUGGCUUAUUCACAUAUUUUUAUAAUAACAGUUACAUAAAACAAAAAAAAUCUGGAAAGUUAAGCCACUUACUUUGACAAGUAAUUGUGAGUAUUUGUAAUAUAUGUAAUUCAAUGAUAUAAGGUUUUUUUAACACAUGAAGUUCUUUGGCCAGUUAAAUUUAACCAAAAAAAAGGAUUUUCAAGUGAAAAAGAAAAGAAAGAGGUUCUCUAUGGAGAUCUAUAAAUUUCACCACCCAUGUGAAGAUUACAACUAUGUAUGAGAGUCAUUUUUGAAGUUGAAAUGAUUGAAACGUUGGAGCAUGGAUUAAAGUACCAAAUCAGACCUGGGGAAGUUGCAAAUGCGGUUGCAUAUCUACAUUAAUGGAAUGAUGCUUCCUGCCUGUAUUUUAAAAACUGAUGCCUGGACAGAGUCUCGCUUUGUUGCCCAGGCUGGAGUAGAGUGGUGUGAUCUCAGCUUACUGCAACCUUCACCUCCUGGGUUCAAACAAUUCUCCUGCCUCAGCCUCCUGAGUAGCUGCCACUAUACCAUGCCUGGAUAAUUUUUGUAUUUUUAGUAGAGACAGGGUUUCACCAUGUUGGCCAAGCUUAUCGAAAACUCCCAACCGCAAGUGGUCGGCCUGCCUUGGCUUUCCAGAGUUCUGGGAUUACAGGUGUAAGCAACCAUUCCCAGUCAUAUAUAGAGAGAGAUUUUUGAAUCAUUGUCUUUCAAAUGGUCAGACCAUUUAUGUGUGUGUAUAUAUAUAUAUAAUUGCAUACUUAAAAUAAGAUACAUGAAAACAAUUCAGAAUACUAAAAAGUGUUGCUUAUAAAUAAAGCAGUGUGUAAACUACUGGACAAUAUUGAUACAAAACACAAAAAUGCAGUAUUUUGCAUUAGCUCUUAGACCACCUGAAUGAAAUCACCGUUUAAAACUCUUGUGAAGUCUGAUAAUUGUACUUAGCUACCAAUAAUGGAAAGUAUCAUGAUUUAAAUUUAAAGAGGACACAAUGUUGUACUUUAUGAGAAAAAUCUUAUUUUCUGUCUACAGAGGAUUAUAAGUGAGAUUUAGUAGAGGGAAAACUGGUGAUAAUUGUCACAUUCCUUUCUUUCACUCUCAACAUCCAAAUGAUCACUCAAAAUGGUCAUUUUUUAAAUUGGUGCAGUGUAACUAAAAGCUAUUUUAAGAGUGGCUAUUUCCAUAUUAUAAAAGUCUAUCUUAUUUUCUUCAGUCUUACUGAAAAUAGUGCUUUCUGUCUAAACCAUUAAGGUGUUAAAGCAUAUCAGGAUAAGUUGAAACCCAAUGAGAGCAAGUGACAUAUUUUAACAAGGAUUUAUAGGUCACUGUCUUGCAAAAACAAAACUCAAAGUACAUUUAUUGACACACAGAAAAAUUUUAACUACUGAAAAACCUAUUCAUAAAUAUUGCACUUAUUUAAAAUUAAUUUAUUAGAUUAUAUAAAUGACCAUUUGGCAUUGCUAAAAAUAUUAAACUUGGCUAUUUCGGUGAAUAAUAGUACAAUAAUUGUACUCUGCCUUUCCUUUGUAAUCAAAAUGUUUAAAAAAGACAAGAGAAAAAAAGUCAAAUAAAACUAAGAAACAACCAACGUAUGAAGAAGUAUUUCCUAUGGACUAUACUGAAAAUUGGACCUAGGUCAAGGACAAAGUACUAGGUCAGAAGCCACCGUGGAGGUAAUGGACUAUGCAUGUAGUCUGAGUUCCUUCAAGAUGAGUCACACAAUCCCAAGGAUAGGCUUAAUAUUUAUAUACAGAACCCAGAGUGCUUGGAAUUGGGUCACUAGGUGUGAGGACAAAUUGCAAGAGAGUCACUGACCUGGAGGAGCAGAUCUGACUCAGGGAACACACAGGCUAUUUUGCAUGAAAACAGAUGAUGGAUUUAGCAAUGUGGUGGAGAAAAGGUAGAAAACAAGAAGCUCUGUAACUCUUCAUUUUGGUCAGCUAAAAAGAAGGACAUUCUAUCACUACAGGUAAGACCUAUGACAUCAGUUCACUGUAGACCUGCCAUCUGCAAGCGAAUUACAGCCACAGGAAUAGGCGUUUUGGUAACGGUGGAGAAAGACACAGUAGGAGAAAUGUAGCUGACUGCUUCUUUAGUUUACCAACACCAUAUCAAUAUUCAGUAAAACGUGAUAUUGAAAAAAACAGCUCCCAUUGAAUAAUUAGAGGCAGAAAAAGGUAGUAAAUCAACAGGAUAAAAAAGUGGCAAAUCAAAAAUAAAUACCAAAAAUUUUUCCACGAAUUAGCUAGAAAAUAUGGAGAUUCGAGUUUCAAUGAAAUCAAAAGAAAACACAGAUUCUCUGAAAAAAGAGCCUAAAGAAGAGAUGAAGGAAGUAAAAGUAGACUAAAAGCAGGAAAAAAUAGAAGAGUAAAUAAAACUAUGGGAUAAAUAAAAUCCAUUUUAACAGUUAAUUCUUCUUCUUUCAAAAUAGAGGCUCAAUAGAUCCAGCAUAACAUGAGACUCUCCCCAAAAGAGAACUAAAAUAUUUAAAUUAUAAGAAAUAAAAGGAAGAGUCUUAAAAUUUUCCAGAUUUAGAAUAAAACUACACAAACACACGUAUUGCUACACACACACAUUCUAAAAAUGCAUGCUACUUAUUAAAAGAGAAAUGAAAAAAUAAAACUUUAAUGAAAAAAAAACCUGAAUUUCUCUAACUCAUAAAGAAUUUUUUCAACCAAAAAGAUAAAACCCACAAUUCAAUUAAACACUGGGGCAGUCUGCAUAGGAUGUUCAUGAACUUAACAAAUCAAAGAAACAUCUUAAAUAACAUAUAAACAUUUUUAAAUAAGUGGCUCUAAACAUACAAAAACUUGUCCAACCACCUAUUAAAGAAAGACCAAUGAAAACAACAUUAAGAUACCAUUGACAAGUAUGAAAAAGGUUGACAGAUAGUGCUGGGCAGCUGUCAACACUACAAAGGAGGGAAAGUUUGGAUUCAAAUACAUUGGGGGAAAAUUUGUCAAUCUAUCAAAAUGUAAACUGUACAACAUUCCCCCUCCAAAAAAAAUUACAUUUGUAGGACUUUAUUAUACAAAUAAACUGAAACCUAAGGAGCCAGUUUAAUUAGGCCAAGACUUCAUUAAAGUUAGUUCUCAAACGAGUUAUUUUAAACGGUUUCCAU